CGACGGCUGACACAACAGCAGCGAGGAAUCCCACCGUCAUAGCUUCCCACGGCUGACGAACUGCUGCCAUGGAGACGCCGAUGGCGACGCCACCAGCGAGGAUGCACGUCUGCAUGUGGCCCUGAAGGAGAGGACAUAAGUCAGUCAGGCCAAUCUCUCAAAAUGAUCUCCAAGUGGAAUCAUCUGCUGACCUUUCAAAUACGAGAGUGACCCAACCU